AAACUUUCAACAACGGAUCUCUUGGUUCUGGCAUCGAUGAAGAACGCAGCGAAAUGCGAUAAGUAAUGUGAAUUGCAGAAUUCAGUGAAUCAUCGAAUCUUUGAACGCACAUUGCGCCCUCUGGUAUUCCGAAGGGCAUGCCCGUCUGAGCGUCAUU
rnacentral:rRNA from 1 species